AUUGAACGCUGGCGGCGUGCUUAACACAUGCAAGUCGAUCGGUAACAGGUGUAGCAAUACAUGCUGACGAGAGGCGGACGGGUGAGUAAUGCUUGGGAAUCUGCCUAUUAGUGGGGGACGAACCCGGGAAACGUACGGCGUAAUACCGCAUACGCUCUACGGAGGAAAGCCGGGGACCGGCAAGGCCUGGCGCUAAUAGAUGAGCCCAACGUCGGAUUAGCUAGUUGGUAGGGUAACGGCCUACCAAGGCGACAAUCCGUAGCUGGUCUGAGAGGACGACCAGCCACACCGGAACUGAGACACGGUCC
rnacentral:rRNA from 1 species